rnacentral:rRNA from 1 species
GUGGAUUAGAUACCCGGGUAGUCCACGCCGUAAACGAUGGAUACUAGCUGUUGGAGGUAUCGACCCCUUCAGUAGCGAAGCUAACGCGUUAAGUAUCCCGCCUGUGGAGUACGGUCGCAAGACUAAAACAUAAAGGAAUUGACGGGGACCCGCACAAGCGGUGGAUCGUGUUCUUUAAUUCGAUGAUAAACGAAGAACCUUACCAGGGCUUGACAUCCAGGGAAGCACCACGAAAGUGGAGUGUGCCUUUUGGAACCCUGUGACAGGUGAUGCACGGUUGUCGUCAGCU